ACCCAUGACUACGACGUCAAGCUGCGCAACGUCACGCGCUUCCUGGAAGCCGGAGACAAGGUAAAGGUCACCCUGCGCUUCCGCGGCCGCGAGAUGGCCCACCAGAACCUCGGACGGGACCUGCUGGAGCGGGUUGCCGAGGAUAUCAAGGAAUUGGGCAAGGUCGAGAACAUGCCCAAGAUGGAAGGCCGGCAGAUGGUCAUGAUGAUCGGCCCGCUUUCAAAGUGACAUGAACGACUCCGGCCGGCGCCAUGCUCCGCGCUACACGCGACAGGAUCAUGGGUCGGCCGGAGA
rnacentral:misc_RNA from 1 species